ACAGACAGUGAGCUGCUAGGGAUAGUCAGACAUUUUUUCACUUAUAUAAGUUUGUACUUUUAGAGCUCGAAGAGACCUAAGGACUCCUUCAUUUUACAGAUGAGGAAACUAAGGCACAGAGAAAUUAAAUUAAGUGACCUUCCUGGGAUCACACAGCUAAGAAGUCUGAGGCAGCUCAGGAGCAACACAGUGGGGACCUGGAGUUGGGAACUCUCAUCUUCAUGAGUUCAAAUCCAGCCUCAGACAAUUACUAGCUGGGUGACCUUGGGCAAGUCAUUUAAUCCUGUCUACCUC
rnacentral:lncRNA from 1 species